rnacentral:rRNA from 1 species
UGGUAGUGUAUUGGACAACCAUGGCUCUCACGGGUAACGGAGAAUUAGGGUUCGAUUCCGGAGAAGGAGCCUGAGAAACGGCUACUACAUCUAAGGAAGGCAGCAGGCGCGUAAAUUACCCAAUCCUAAAUCAGGGAGGUAGUGACAAGAUAUAACAACGUGACGUAAAAAUCGCGAUUGUAGUGAGGUUAUUCCAAACCGAAAUUCGAGUACGAUUGGAGGACAAGUCUUGGUGCCAGCACCCGCGGUAAUUCCAGCUCCAAUAGCGUAUAUUAAAGUUGUUGCAGUUAAAAAGCUCGUAGUUGGAUUUCUGGGAGGGCGCCAAUGUCGGCAUGUUGCUCGUGCAGCGGCGCCCUUCCAUCCUUCUGUUGACGUUUCUGAUAUUUGUUUAUUGGUCUCGGGCUCAGAUAUUUUACCUUGAGAAAAUUAGAGUGUUCCAGGCAGGCUUGCGCCGGAAUACAUUAGCAUGGAAUAAUAGAAUAGGACUUUAGUCUCCUUUGUUGGUUUGAGGGACUGAAGUAAUGGUUAAUAGGGAUAGUUGGGGGCAUUAGUAUUUAAUUGUCAGAGGUGAAAUUCUCGGAUUUGUUAAAGACUAACUUAUGCGAAAGCAUUUGCCAAGGAUGUU